AAAAAAAGUUAUAGUAAAGAAUGAGAAAAUGUCAUAUUACAGUUUGUUAAAAAAUGUCAUAGUAUAGUAUGAUAAAAAUUUCAUAGUAUAAUAUGAUGAGGAAGAAUAGUCUCAGUUAUUAGUAGUCGUCAUUAAUCUACAGUUGCAUAAAAGAGACACCUGCUGUUUGGCUCAGAAAUUGAAGUAGAUUUUUUGAUUGAUACGUGGUUGGCGCAGUCUGGUGCAUGUGCAAAUGCAUUUUGGGCAAUAAUGGAGUCAUUUCUCAUGGUGUGAUAGGACAGGAUAUCAAAACUCAGCAGUAACAGUUUAUGAACUGUUCUGUGUUCAUGUGUUUUUUUUUCAUGGUUUUUCUGCAGUGUUCCAGACAAAAAGAAGAGCCACUCCAUGUUCACUUUUCCAACACAUAAAAGGAAAUAUAUUUAAAAAACUGUUCAUACUGAAGAACUUUUAUCAUGGCAGAGUCAUUUUCACAAGGGGCAGCUGUAUGUCAGUCUGUCAUUUUUAUACACAGUUUUCAGACACACAGACACACGCACACAUACUGCCUCCUCUCCCUUGCAAAGUGAUCACCUUUGCAGAAUGUAGAAUAGUUUACACUUCGGUUACAGAAUAAAAAUCAGCAUUUUAUCUCCUGUUUCAACUCCAUUUUUAACACUAAACUCAUCAACAUCACAUUCUCAUGUGAAGAAUAAGGUGAAAUUCU